rnacentral:rRNA from 1 species
GACGAACGCUGGCGGCGUGACUAAUACAUGCAAGUCGAACGCAGUGGGGACGGGUGAGUAACACGUGGGUAACCUCCCCUCAGAGGGGAUAACCCUUGGAAACAGGUGCUAAACCGAUAUUGAUGGCUGGACCCGCGGUGCAUUAGCUAGUUGGGGGGGUAACGGCUCACCAAGGCCACUAUGCAUAGCCGGCCUGAGAGGGUGGUCGCACAAAGUGGUGCGUGGACCCGGCCCAGAUUCCACCGGGAGGCAGCAGUAGAGAAUCUUCGGCAAUGGGCGAAAGUCGGACCGAGAGAAGCAGCGUGCGUGAAAGAGGGUUUCGGGUCGUAAAACUCUGUUGUUAGGGAAGCGGUAUCUAACCAGAAAGCCACGGCUAACUUCGUGCCAGCAGCCGCGGUAAUAC